GUGCUGUAUCGCGUUUUCAACGUAUAAAGAGCACCAGUGUGUAUGGACACACAGGAUGAAUGGGAACAAGUUUUGUUAUGGUACUUUUGAUGAAAAGUUACUUUCUACACUUCAAAUGUCACUUUUUUCAACUUAUCAUACUUUAUCAUCAAGUUUUACAUUUUAAUGUAAACAAUCAUAUUUCGUAUUAUUUUAGGUCAGAAACAUUUCAUAGUACUACAUUAUGUCUAACUAUGUGCAAAAAAUCAAAUUGGAGUACGUCGGGCACUUGAUUACAUGAGUUUGUUAGAAAAACCACUUUCCUUUGCUCCUAGCGCCUUCUCGUUCGCUGUAUAGCGUUUUGAGCGGAUAAAGAGCACAAGUGUGCAUGGACACAUAGGAUGAAUGGAAACAUGUUUGUUAUGGUACUUUUGAUGAAAAGUGAAUUUCUGACCUUCAAAUGUCACUUUUUUCAACUUAUCAUACGUUAUCAUCAAGUUUUACAUUUUAAUGUAAACAAUCGUAUUUCGUAUUAUUUUAGGUCAGAAACAUUUCAUAGUACUACAUUAUGUCUAACUAUGUGAAAAAAAUCAAAUUGGAGUACGUCGGGCACUUGAUUACAUGAGUUUGUUAGAAAAACCACUUUCCUUUGCUCCUAGCGCCUUCUCGUUCGCUGUAUAGCGUUUUGAGCGGAUAAAGAGCACAAGUGUGCAUGGACACAUAGGAUGAAUGGAAACAAGUUUUGUUAUGGUACUUUUGAUGAAAAGUGAAUUUCUGACCUUCAAAUGUCACUUUUUUCAACUUAUCAUACGUUAUCAUCAAGUUUUACAUUUUAAUGUAAACAAUCAUAUUUCGUAUUAUUUUAGGUCAGAAACAUUUCAUAGUACUACUAUUAUGUCUAACUAUGUGAAAAAAAUCAAAUUGGAGUACGUCGGGCACUUGAUUACAUGAGUUUGUUAGAAAAACCACUUUCCUUUGCUCCUAGCGCCUUCUCGUUCGCUGUAUAGCGUUUUGAGCGGAUAAAGAGCACAAGUGUGCAUGGACACAUAGGAUGAAUGGAAACAAGUUUUGUUAUGGUACUUUUGAUGAAAAGUGAAUUUCUGACCUUCAAAUGUCACUUUUUUCAACUUAUCAUACGUUAUCAUCAAGUUUUACAUUUUAAUGUAAACAAUCAUAUUUCGUAUUAUUUUAGGUCAGAAACAUUUCAUAGUAGUAUAUUAUGUCUAACUAUGUGAAAAAAAUCAAAUUGGAGUACGUCGGGCAAUUGAUUACAUGAGUUUGUUAGAAAAACCACUUUCCUUUGCUCCUAGCGCCUUCUCGAAGCGCUGUAUAGCGUUUUGAGCGGAUAAAGAGCACAAGUGUGCAUGGACACAUAGGAUGAAUGGAAACAAGUUUUGUUAUGGUACUUUUGAUGAAAAGUGAAUUUCUGACCUUCAAAUGUCACUUUUUUCAACUUAUCAUACGUUAUCAUCAAGUUUUACAUUUUAAUGUAAACAAUCAUAUUUCGUAUUAUUUUAGGGUCAGAAACAUUUCAUAGUACUAUAUUAUGUCUAACUAUGUGAAAAAAAUCAAAUUGGAGUACGUCGGGCAAUUGAUUACAUGAGUUUGUUAGAAAAACCACUUUCC
ensembl:lncRNA